rnacentral:misc_RNA from 1 species
GAUGAAGAACGUAGCGAAAUGCGAUACUUGGUGUGAAUUGCAGAAUCCCGUGAACCAUCGAGUCUUUGAACGCAAGUUGCGCCCGAAGCCAUUAGGCCGAUGGCACGCCUGCCUGGGCGUCACACGUCGUUGCCCCCCCAUCUACUCCUUCGGGAUUGCGGGGGGCGGAUGAUGGCCUCCCGUGCGCCUCGUCGCGCGGUUGGCCUAAAUGCCAAGUCCUCGGCGACGCACGCCACGACAAUCGGUGGUUGCGAAACCUCGGUUGCCUGUCGUGUGCGGUCGUCGCGCAUCGAGGGCUCGAAAAAAUUGCCGGGCUUCGGCUCGACUUUCAACGCGACCCCAGGUCAGGCGGGGUUACCCGCUGAAUUUAAGCAUAUCAAUAAGCGGAGGA